rnacentral:tRNA from 1 species
AAGAGGAUAGCUUAAUGGUAUUAAAGUUUCGGUCUCCAAAACCGAAUAUAAGGGUUCGAAUCCCUUUCCUCUUG